rnacentral:misc_RNA from 1 species
GGGGGAGGCCGUUUUGUGUGCGAGUGUAA